UCCUCCUCCUCGGCCGCGCUGUCAGUGGAGUUCUGGGCCCGCAGGAAGCCCACGUCGGUCACGGGCGCGUCCACGCUAGGCCGCCGGUCUCGCCGCCGCUCCUCCGGGCAGUAGAGGGCUGUGUCACUGCAGUAGAUGUCUCCCUUGUAGGGGGGCCGCGGGCCUGGUUUCUCCACCCCGUCGCAGAAGGCCAGGUCGCGGGCGGAGGCAUCGGACAGGCGGGAGGACAGGCUGGCGGGGUCCGGCUUCUCCAGCACCUUGGCAAUGACGCAGGCACUGCCGGUCAUCGUGCCCAGCCACAGGCUCCUGCGAAGCUCCACAAAGGUCACUCUGCCGUGUCAGCGCUCAGUGGAAGCAAGGACCUGGAGCAGCCCCCCAAAGGAAACCGAGGGCAACCAGCAGCCGGGGUGGGCCAAAGGGACUCUGGUGAGGGCCAGGGGCUGCCCGGCUGCGUGAGGUGGGGUGCCUUUGGCGGCCCCUCCAAUGUCAUGACCCCACAGGAGCGAGGGGGACAGAGGAGGCUCAGGCUCAGCUGGCAUCUUCCUCCUCAAAG
ensembl:lncRNA novel transcript